rnacentral:rRNA from 1 species
CCUACGGGCGGCAGCAGUGGGGAAUAUUGCAUAAUGGGCGCAAGCCUGAUGCAGCCAUGCCGCGUGUGUGAAGAAGGCCUUCGGGUUGUAAAGCACUUUCAGCGGGGAGGAAGGCGGUGAGGUUAAUAACCUCAUCGAUUGACGUUACCCGCAGAAGAAGCACCGGCUAACUCCGUGCCAGCAGCCGCGGUAAUACGGAGGGUGCAAGCGUUAAUCGGAAUUACUGGGCGUAAAGCGCACGCAGGCGGUCUGUCAAGUCGGAUGUGAAAUCCCCGGGCUCAACCUGGGAACUGCACUCGAAACUGGCAGGCUAGAGUCUUGUAGAGGGGGGUAGAAUUCCAGGUGUAGCGGUGAAAUGCGUAGAGAUCUGGAGGAAUACCGGUGGCGAAGGCGGCCCCCUGGACAAAGACUGACGCUCAGGUGCGAAAGCGUGGGGAGCAAACAGGAUUAGAUACCCCGGUAGUC